rnacentral:lncRNA from 1 species
GAACCAGUCCCUUAACCUUUAGAGCAGUUCUUCCAGGUGAUUAUUCUUGACUGCUCUGUGAACUGAAGACAAGGACGAGAUUCAGAGAAACAGAGAGGUUGCAUCCAUUUCUCAGGGCCCAGACGGUGACACUAAGGAUGAAGACCUAGCUCUGUUAUCCUUCAGGCUUUAUACCCUUCCUGUACUGGUUCCAAUCCAUAGCAAGAAACCACCCUUGAACAGUAAAUAACACGAUCUUGGGGUUCAUGGUGUGUUCAGAUAUCCCGCAACAGCAAGUCAUUCAGACGAUCAGUGCUGCUCUCUUAGCAGGGGACACUCCUCAAGCAGGACUGGAUUAAUCCAUGGGAGCGAGCAGCUGAGCCGUGAGAAGCCAGAAAGCCUGAUGUGGUCCACCCCUUUCCCUGGAAUCACUCCUUUCCAUGUGGGCUGAAUGCCCACGUGCAGCUGUCUGAUCUCAGGAUUUCUAUCAUCCAGAGUAUUCUCUGGAAGCUCCAGCGGGGUUGGCCCAGCUCCUGGCUUCCUCUCCUGGCAACAGCCUCAGGUCUUUUUGAUGAAUUGAAUGAGAAGUGGAGCCCUCAGGUCCAGUCCUGAUCCUGCAGGUAAGCAGGUGCUUGCUCAUGAAGCUUACACAGAACUCAUGUGACCACGAAGCCAAGGUGGCCGAGAGAAGGCAGCUUCCUGGAAUCUCAGCCUUCCACCAGGCCAGGAGCCAGUCUGCUGCUUCUGUCUGCCUGUACCAAGCAUCUCCCUCAGAGGGAGGAGCCAUGGCCCCAGAAGAUGCUAAGCACUAAAGGAGGCCAUAUGCUUCUACCUUACCAGGUUUUCCGAUGCCCGUGGAGGUCAGAAGAGGGUACCGGACCAAUGGAAUUCAGGUGGCUGUGGUGAGCGCUGUGGGUUGUGAGAACUGAACCUGGGUCCUCUGUAAGAAGGACAAGAGCUCAUGACUGCUUAUCUUCUCUCUGGCCCCUCAUUUUACCUUCACGGGGUCUUGCGUGGCCCAGCCUCACCUCUGAGCUGCUGCUCAGAGAAGGUGGUGGAGAGACUUCAAAGAAUGAAACAAGAUGGCGUGACCCCGGGCCCUUUGAAACUGAGCCAGACCUGGAAUCCAGCCCCUGCCUGCUUUCUUCUGCACUGAAGAAUAAGGACCUUCUAAGCCUUGUGUAUCCGCUCUUCCUUAGCCUGGGAUCGGGGGUUCAAGACCAUUCUCGCCCACUACACAGCAUGUGUGGAGCUGGGCUGGUCACGUGAGAACCCUGCCUUAAUUAAUUAAUUAAUUAAUUAAUGAGUUU